rnacentral:rRNA from 1 species
CCCCUAGAUGUUCUGGGCCGCACGCGCGCUACACUGAACAGUUCAACAAGUCUUAACCUUGGCCGAUAGGUCUGGGUAAUCUUUGAACGCUGUUCGUGAUUGGGAUAGACCUUUGCAAUUAUGGGUCUUCAACGAGGAAUUCCUAGUAAACGCAAGUCAUCAGCUUGCAUUGAUUACGUCCCUGCCCUUUGUACACACCGCCCGUCGUACCUACCGAUUGAAUGGUCCGGUGAAAUCUCGGGACGGCGGCUUGGUCGCUUGCGUCCGACUGCUGAAACUUGAUUAAACCAUAUCAUUUAGAGGAAGGUGAANUCGUAACA